UCAGUAUCUCACUCUGCCUCACUCUGUCUCAGUAUGUCACUCUGUCUCAGUAUCUCACUCUGUCUCACUGUCUCACUCUGUCUCAGUAUGUCUCUCUGUCUCACUCUGCCUCACUCUGUCUCAGUAUGUCUCUCUGUCUCAGUAUGUCACUCUGUCUCACUCUGCCUCACCUGCUCUCAGUAUGUCUCACUCUGUCUCAGUGUUGCCAGGUUGAACAGAGGGUGUGUCCCGACUCCUCCCCGUCCCGCAGGGGCGUGUCUCCACCUGUGCAGAAUGUAGAUUUUAGGCCGCAGGUGGGACGCUCUACCUGUCCUGCACUCGUGUGAUAAUUUUAUAUUAACAGAAAUAAUGAUAAAUAGUAAUAAUAAUAUAAUUAUUAAUAAUGAAGAAAUGAUGAUGCGUGAAUAACGCCGCUAAUACAUGCUGGAUUUAUUUGUAUUAUUAUUAUAUUUUUUUUGUUCUGGCGUUUUAAGAAAAACAGAAACAUGAUAAGUGUCUUAUAAUGAUGAAGAUGAUGAUGAAGAUGAUGAAGAUUAAAAGGAUAUUGUAGUUAGCCGUUUAAUUUUUUGGAAAAGCUGCUUUGGUUUGAUUUGAGAUUUUAAUAUUUUGUAUUAAAGAGAUUUGCUGAAAGUGGGCGGGGCGUGUUGUUUAUUGGGUGAAUCUGAGGGGGUGUGGUUCUGGUUCACAGCAAUGAAAACUGAUGGACGGAUUGAUUAUCAGUGUAAAUGUGAUUUCAUGUUUAGCUGUAGUCUCAGGGCAGGUUAUGAGAGGUGUGAUAUAAUUAUAAAUGUUAUAAUUAUAAAUGUUAUGGAUGUGAUCUGUAACUCUGAUGUUUGGAGGAUGUUCUCUGUAGACGGAUAAUCAGGACUGAUAUGAAGAAGCUCCAGCAGACCGGGUCGGAGGGGUCAGUACUCAGGCCCCGCCCCUACAUCCCAUAAUAUUACACAAAUGCUGGCAAUAUUUAAAAUCAAUCAAAAUGAGAAGUUAUUAAUGUGUAAAUGUAUAAUUUUAUAUGAAUUAUAUGGAGAUUAAAGAGUGUACUGGUGGGAUCCAGCACUGCUUCUAAUGGGAGUUCUGGCUGUGGGUAAAGUGGGCGGGGUUAAACCCGCGUGUUUGGGCGGUUGGUGGGGAGCGUCGGUUGCUAUGGGUUUGGUUGCUAGGAGCCGGUGUGCUAGGCCCCGCCCCUCCCCCUCUCUGCAGGAAUGGAGCAGGGAUUGCGGGAAGAAGCUGCGGUGAGUAAAUCAGAUUAAACUUAUAUAAAUAUUAAUAAAAUCAGAAGUCGGUUCUGUUCUACA
rnacentral:lncRNA from 1 species